rnacentral:rRNA from 1 species
AGAGUUUGAUCAUGGCUCAGGACUAACGCUGGCGGCGUGCCUAACACAUGCAAGUCGAACGCAUCUGUGCUUCGGUACAGAUGAGUGGCGAACGGGUGAGUAACACGUGAGUAACUCCCCUUGGGGAGGGGGAUAACCAUCUGAAAAGGUGGCUAAUACCCCAUAUUCUCCUUUUUUGCCAAAGAAAGGAGGAAAGAUGGCGUAAGCUAUCACCCCGAGAGAGGCUCGCGUCCCAUCAGCUAGUUGGUAGGGUAAUGGCCUACCAAGGCUAUGACGGGUAGCUGGUCUGAGAGGAUGGUCAGCCACACUGGGACUGAGACACGGCCCAGACUCCUACGGGAGGCAGCAGUGAGGAAUCUUGGGCAAUGGGCGAAAGCCUGACCCAGCGACGCCGCGUGGAGGAAGAAGGCCUUCGGGUCGUAAACUCCUGUUCGGGGAGAAGAACAGGAGAGGAGUGAAUAACUUCUCUCCCUGACGGUAUCCCCGGAGAAAGCUCCGGCUAAUUACGUGCCAGCAGCCGCGGUAAUACGUAAGGAGCGAGCGUUGUCCGGAUUUACUGGGCGUAAAGAGCUCGUAGGUGGUUUCUUAGGUCUCACGUGAAAUUCCCUGGCUCAACUGGGGUGGGUCGUGGGAAACCGAGAAGCUAGAGGGCAGGAGAGGAGAGUGGAAUUCCCGGUGUAGCGGUGAAAUGCGUAGAGAUCGGGAGGAACACCAGUGGUGAAGACGGCUCUCUGGACUGUCCCUGACACUGAGGAGCGAAAGCCAGGGGAGCAAACCGGAUUAGAUACCCGGGUAGUCCUGGCCGUAAACGAUGGGUACUAGGUGUGGGGGGGUUCGACCCCCUCCGUGCCGCAGUUUAACGCAUUAAGUACCCCGCCUGGGGAGUACGGCCGCAAGGGUUGAAACUCAAAUGAAUUGACGG